ACUGUACAGAAGUGUGGGAACCAGGUGAAGCCAAGUCUCAGAGGAGGUUGAAAGUGGUGCUCUUGAAUCCAGAUGUACAGAGUGGGAAAUCACUGCCAUUGGAAGAGAACAAUGCAAGAAAGGCUUUGCUUUACCAGCCUGCACUACAAAGGAAAAAAGAAAACCUGAGACAGUACCGAACAUGUCUCUCGGAAAUAAAGGACUUCCGUUUUACUGAAUAGUAACAUCAAAUCAGAGAAGCUGCCUAUGGCUGGGCUCUAUGUAAAUAAAAGGAAUGUACUCUAUACCAUUAAUUCAUGUUUCUCAUAACAAGACAAGGUGACAUGAUUUCUCAUUGCAUCUUCAGUGGCUCAAGGUUCACUUGUGUCUUUGAGGCAAGUUUGCUUUUAUUGAUACCUCUCCUGUGGGUGAAUAGCAACAGUGUUUUUUUUAUAAACUCUACAAUGUCUAAAAAUAAACAAAAAUUAAAGG